GAAACGACGCGUAGCGCCAUUUUUAUUGUGGUUAACCUUUAACCGCUGCUUUGAAAUUGAAUUUUCCGUCGCAAUUCGCUAUUUUGAUUUGAAGGCGGUUUUCAUUUAUUUAUUAUCUAAUUAUAGUGCUUUAUUGUGUGUGAAUGUUUUUGUAAACAGUAUAUUAUAAAAGCAAUCAUUUAGUGUUUACCAGUUUAAACGUGUAAUUGUUUUUUUCGUAUAGUUUGAUUUAUUUGAUAAUAUAAUGGUUUAUAAGUGCUCUGUUCCCGGGUGCAGUACUCGAGGCCGAGGUAUUAAAUAUUAUAGUGUGCCGUUCACAAAUAAAAAAAGGUGGGAAGAGUGGUUAAGUUUAUGUCCAUUCCUACAAAAUUAUCCUCCUACUCAACGCGAAAACAUUCGUUUUGUCAUAAACAUUUUAUUCCCGAACAUAUAAAACAGAAUCUAAGAUUAACACCUAAUGCGAUUCCUUUAGUAAACUUAGGAAAUACAGAUAAAUAUAAAGUUACAAACCGAGAUUUGAUAUUAGAAAUUGAACCCACUAGUAGCAUUACUGAACCCUUUAUUUUUAAAGUAGUUAACCCUUCUGAACUUAAUCGACCCACUAUAGAGCAAAAUUGUUCUAUCAUACAAGAACAUCAAAGUUCUGAGCUGUCUAGCACGGUAUCAAUUCAUGCUUCAUUGAAUGAAGCAAAUAGUAGUACUCCAACUCAAUUUACUCCCAAUAUACCUCACAAUACGCAAUACCCAAUAUGUAUAACCCCUUCCACAUCAACCACCAUUGCUGUGUGUAAUGAGCACAAAUUACAAAGUCACAGCCUAGUUAAACGUAGAUUAACUAAUCGUAUUAGAUUAAAUUCCAAUGAAUGUACCCCUCGUAAACGAAUUUUACGCUCUUCAAUUCACAUUUUAAAGAAUAAAUUACGUCUCUUGCAAUCAAGGUAUAAAAAGUUAAAGACUAGAUUUGACCUUCAUGCACCAAAAACAAAGGUGUUCUUGAAAAAUAUAACAUUUUGAGUACAUAUGGGAAAUUAUUAGUAGAUUCACAAUUACGUUUGACUGGUAAUUCAUUAAAAGGUCGCCGUUACACAGACUCAGAAAAGUUUUUGCUUUAUCAUUAUAUAAGUUAAGCCCUAAGUGCUAUAGAUUUUUACGAAAACAUUUAGCAUUACCAUGUAAAUCCCGAAUUAAUUCUCUACUCAGCAAUAUUCCUUUGAGGCCUGGUAUUAAUGACUUUAUAUUUCAACAUUUGGCAGAUGCUGCCUUGGAUAAACCCGCAAUAGACAGGCAAUGCACAUUAAUGUUUGAUGAAAUGUCCAUUAAAAAACACUUAAAUUUUAAUUUCUUUACUGGGGUCAUUGAAGGUUUUGAAGAUAUAGGUUCUGGCAAACGCACAAACAAUGUGGCUGAUAAAGCUUUAGUUUUUAUGUUACGGGUUUGUUUUCUCCUUGGAAAAUUCCAAUUGCAUUUUAUUUUGCUCGAGAUGGGGUUAAAACAUUUGUUUUAAAAAAUAUUAUUAAAGAAAUAGUAUUAGCAGUUUUUAAAUCUGGAUUCAUAGUAAGAGCUACAAUCAGUGUUCCAAACCAAGGUUCUGCCAAUGUUGCUGCUAUUAAGUCAUUAAUAUCAGAUUCUAAUGCUGAACUCCUACGUAGUAACAAAUAUACCAAUGACAUCUGUUAUAAAAUCGGCCCAAACCAACUGUACCAUAUCUAUGAUGUACCUCAUUUAUUGAAAUGUUUUCGCAAUAAUUUUCAGAAAAAAAACCUACUCAUUGGCAACCAAAGGGCAAAGUGGGAGUAUAUUGAGAGACUUUAUAAAGUGGAUGGUUUUGGUGGCAGAGCAAGAAGCACCAAACUUACUGAGAAGCACAUAAAUCCAACUUCAUAUGACAAAAUGAAGUAACAAUUUGACAUCGUCGGGAGAAUUAAUGGACUUCAGGAUCUUUAGGUCAUCAGCAAACAUGAAAGGUGUGGAAUGAUGCAAGCAAUUGAUAAUGUCAUUUAUGAACAUAUUAAAAAUAACAGUCCCAAAUGGGAGCCCUGUGGGCACCCCAGAAGCAAUAUGAUGGAAAUUGGAACUAAAACCAUUAAGAACCACAUGGUCAAAUUUGCAGCCCAAGUUUUAGCCGGCAAGUGGCUACAUCACUAGAAAUCCAGAUGAAGUCUCUGCUAUCUCUCCAGGAUCAUGAUUACAUAAGUUUAAAUGAAGACAUUGGAAAUGGUUUGUUCACAGCAGAAAUUCUUCUUUUAUAAAUAAUUUGUUUGAUAGUUUAAAUGGUUUUGGUCAUUAUGGGAAUAAGUUAAAACAUGCUCUUUCAUAUAAUUCGAGCACAUUGCAUUCUGGAAUGAUGCUGUGAAAAGCUAGCUUCAAUGCGCUUUGACGCUUCCAAUGAAAGGGAAAGGAAGCCUUUAUCACUGAAGCAUUUUGAACAUAAUAUAAAAACAAUAAAACAUUUGUGGUCAGAUCUGCUGAGAAUUGAUGGUGUUAAAUUUUUAAGUCUUAGACGUCUUAAUCAAGAUCCGAUAGAAAACUUUUUUGGUCAAAUAAGGGCACAUGGUAAUUUUAGUACAAAUCCUAAUUGUACUCAUUUUGUAUCGGCUUUUAAAACCUUGUUGAUUAACAACAUUACUACCGGUAAAUCUUUAUACACUAAUUGUUCUGAUGAUGAUGACAAAAUGUUGGGAACAUUAAAACAUUUAGUCAGCCACCAAAAUAUGGUUCAUACACUGAUAGUCUUCAAUGUAAUGAAACUAACUUUAUAGAAAUUUCUAUACCUAACGAGAAUAUAUUCCAACAUAAGUCUGUACCAUAUAUUGCUGGUGCAGUUUGUCGUUUUUUGAUGUCCAAUUUGAACUGCAAAGAUUGUGAUAAUUGUACAAAAGCACUAUUAUCUCAGAGAGAGUCAUUUCACGAAUUAAUUAAUUUAAGAGAAUAUAGUUCCAAUGUAGAUAGGUUAUGUUAUCCUUCUAAUAAUUUUAGUCAAAUGGUCUGGCAGAGUAUUUACAUUAUUGACAAGAUGAUGCCAUUUCUUUGCAGUGUUUAUAUUUAUUCUGACUUAAUAAGUAAUUUAAUAAAAUAUAUUGACACUACUUGGUACAACUGUAAUAUUCACAAAACGGCUGUUAUUAAAGCUUUUGGUCCUACAUAGUUAGAAUGCAAGUUAAGCAGUGGUGUAUUAAUUUUAAUAAUAGAAUGAAUAAUAUUGAUUCAAGGCCUAAAGAUAUAGAAAUGGAAACUCUAAUCCGUGAGAAAGUCACAAAAGGAUUGAGUUAUAGAUCACAAA
rnacentral:misc_RNA from 1 species